UUGUAUAUGGAUACGGAAUAUAACAAACUUGAUCUGCCUACGAUGCUGAAUACACAAAUUAUACAUAUUAAUAA
rnacentral:sRNA from 1 species